AUGCAUUAUGUAAAGACGUCGGGGUCCAGUAUGAGGACAAAAUCAGCGUUAUGUAAACGUCCAGAUGAGAGGUUAGGAACCACUGGUGAUACCCGCCCCAUCCUGACGGUGCUGCCUCCCUCCAGUGAGGAGCUGCAGCAGGGGAAGGCCACGCUCAUGUGUCUGGCCAACAAGGGUUUCCCCUCAGACUGGAGUCUGUCCUGGAAGGUGGACGGCAGCAGCAGCAGCUGGGAGGAGGACAGGAGCCCCGUGGUGAUGAAGGACGGCCUCUACAGCUGGAGCAGCACCCUGAGGCUCACUGCAGACCAGUGGAGGAAGGUGGGCUCUGUGACCUGUGAGGCCACCCAGGGCUCCCAGUCUCCAGUCUCAGAGUCACUCAGGAGAGACCAGUGUUCCCAGUACUGAUGGG